rnacentral:misc_RNA from 1 species
CUUCUGAAGACCAACAAGAACCCCGACCACUGGAUCCUGCGUGGUGUCGCUCUGUUGUGCGACAUCAAAUAAACUUGCAAUCCAACAUCAAAAUAUUGUUAAUACGUGAACUGUUUAAAAAAAAUAAUUUCUUUUUCACUAUUGUGUGGAUUUUUUUUCUUUUUUGCCAUUUCUGAUUGACUUCCCCUGAUAAAAUGUGUGAUACAUAUAUGAUAUAUUUACCGGUAUCUGCUAAACCUGGACUAUAUGAUAUAUAUUAUAUUUGAAAGAAAAUUCAAUUAACACUGUCUGCCAGACAUUGUUGAGAGAUACACAGUGAAGCUGUUUUAUUAUAAACUUUCGAUUUGUAUUCAAGUUUUUCUUGAAAUAUUAUUAAAUAUUUUAGCCAUCCGUCCAGUAAUAUUCCUAACCAGAGCAGUAUUUUUGUACGAUUAUUUCUGGGUGUGUUCUUUUUUUAAAUAUUUUCCCUUUAUGAUAUACAUGAAUUAUCGAACUUAACACAGAUUUGUCUUCUGACCAUUAUUUAUAUUUUAUUUAAUUUAUUAAUUUACUCCAUUUGUUGUUAUACAUGCACCAAGAAAUGUUGUUUUGUUACAUGUUUACAUUUAUAUAAAGAAAAGCUGAAUUUUGUGUUGAUUUGAAACAAUAAAAUAUAACUCAUU